AAUAAAGUGCCUGAUUAAAGGAUUAUUUUGAUAGAAUAAAAAAUGUAGAUUUUCUACCUUUAUUA
rnacentral:tRNA from 1 species